AUGACCGUUAAGGUGGCAAGCGGGAGGAAGCUCUUGACUUCUUCCUUCUCCUCCUCCUCCACCCUAACAAGCCAUCCUCCAAACUCAAACUCAAAGUCUCAAACUCCAACUCUAUUUGCUUUUUUGCUCUUCUCUCUCUCUCUGUAACAUUCAUGGAAGCAAUGCUAAAUUCCAAAUUGAUUUAUUAAUUUAUUCCAUCAAUUUUUAAUUAAUUAAUUUCGAACAAAAAGAUUAUUAAUAAUUAAAUGUCGUGGUUAAGAACAGCGGUGAAUAAGGCGGUGGAGGCAGGUGGUAAGAACAACCUCACUCGCACCGUUCGCAACUACGCCGACUCCGUCGUCUUCCAAGCCGGCAAUGCUGUUGCUGGUGGUGCCAGGAUCCUCCAGGACCGCAUUGGCGCUCGGAAUCUAAAAAGUUUCAGUCAUACAGUUAAAAGAGUGGAAGAAGUGUCUGUUUCUUGUAGAGGUAUAGAAAGAGUUCAGCUACUAAGAAGGUGGUUAGUUGCACUUAAAGAGGUUGAGAAAUUAUCCAAUUUUUACGACAACAAUUCAAAAUUCCCAGUGGACAGACCUAAUUCUGAUGAAUCCAGGGAUUCUCCUAAAGUGCCUACUCUGGUUUAUUAUAUUGAUUCAGUUGGAGAUGAGCCAAAAACUUUCCGUGAAGUCUUUCUUUAUAGUCAAGCCCUUGAAGGCAUAACAUUGUCGAUGAUUCUUGAAGCACCAAAUGAGGAAGAAGUUUCACUACUUCUGGAGAUAUAUGGGCUCUGUCUCACAGGAGGGAAAGAAGUACAUGAUGCAGUAAUGAGUAAUGUACAGGCUUUGGCAAAGGCGUUCUCAAGCUACCAAGAUGAAGUACUGGUAAAGCGUGAAGAAUUGCUUCAAUUUGCUCAAGAUGCAAUUACAGGGCUGAAAAUAAAUUCUGAACUGGCAAGAAUAGAUGCUGAAUCCAGCAGUAUAAAGGAAAAACUUGAUAAAAUAAAGGCAGUCCAGCAGCCUUUAAGUGACAGUCAAGAAAAAUCACGUGAAGAGAAAACAAUAGUUGAGGACCUAGGACAAGCUCUUUCUGAAGUUCAUUUGUAUGUCAACUUGGAAGCGCUCUUACUGAAAAAGAAGUCCUUGAGCAAUGGAGAUUCUCCGAAAGAACACGAUGACAAGGUUCAUAAGCUGAAAAUCUUAUCAGAAUCUCUCGCUAAUUCUACCUCAAAAGCUGAAAAGCGCAUUUUAGACAACAGAUUUCAGAAAGAAGAAGCACUUAACUUUCGUGUGGCUAAAGCCAAUGAAGUUUUCCAACUUGAGAAGGAAUUGGUGGCAGAUAUUAGACAAUUUGAGAGGCAAAGAGAUGAACUUGAAGCUGAAAUCAAAAAGGUCAAUGCCUCAUUGGCUGCUGCUCGUGCACGCCUUCACAAUAUGAGGGAAGAAAGAGAUCAGUUCGAUGAUGCAAGUAAUCAGAUUCUUGUACACUUGAAAACAAAGGAGGAUGAGCUUUCGAGGUCCAUUGCUUCUUGUAGAGCUGAAGCUGAUGUUGUUGAUACUUGGGUCACAUUUCUGGAAGGCACCUGGGUUCUCCAGGCUUCAUACACAGAACAAAAGGAAAAACAGGUCAAGGGUGAACUUGAGAGAUAUGGAGAGCAUUUUGCAAAUUUGGUUAUUCAUCUUCUCUCUACUUACAAGGACAGGUUGAGCCCGUUAAUCAACCAUAUUAAGGAACUUGCAGAGGAUUUGAGUAAAAGCCAAGGAUCAAAAACAACAUUUGGUGAGGAUGAUGAAAGUUCAAAAGUAACAAAUACGCGGAAAGAUCUUGAAGAGGAAUAUGUAGAUGGUGAAUCAAAGAUUUUGGCCACCUUCAGAGUAAUCGAUGCAACGAAAAGUCAAUACUAUGUUCAAACAGAAGGAAUUUACCGGAAAGAGGAACAGAAAAUUGCGGAGCUAUUUAGUGCUGUUGAAAAAUUGACAGUUGAAUUCGAAUCCAUUGAAAGACCAACAUUGGAAAUCGAAACACCAACUCAAAGGUCGGAGACACCAUUUAGUGAUAAAAGCAAUAAAAGUCCAUUAGCUAUAUAUAAACAACGCCCUGACACUCCAGAAUACAAAAAGAAUGGAGCAAUGGAGAAGAACACAUUGCCUGCAGAGGUAGAAAUAACAAAUUUAGUGUCAGCAUACGAAAAGUUCGAUGGAGAAGACUCUCCAGAAGUGAUUAAUGCAGAAGAGAUUAAUGAUUGGGAAUUUGAUGCACUCGACAAAGACUAAUAAACAACGGCUGAUAGCCAACAAUUAUAGGCCAAAUUUGUCUGUGGUAUGUGCAUAUACACCAUUUCAUUCGUAUAACAGUCGAGUAUUUUUGACAUGCCAAGAGGAGAAUCAAAACAGAACCAUGUUGCAUACUAGGGUGCAAUGUUGUAGAACUACUAACUACUACAUUACAAGCUGGCAUAAUCAUUUGUGGAGGUUAUUCUUGAUGGACCAGAAACUGAGUCCCUUUGAGAUAACUAUUUCGCAUAAAGUGAGAGGAACCUUAAAAGGAUCAACCUAGUGGGGUUUUUGACCUAGAACUUUUUAUCUUUGCCAAUUGACAAUUUCCCUUUUUUCUUUUUUGAGUGCCCCCUGAAACCAAUUAUGCAUUUUGAGUACUGAAACUACAAAGGCAAUAGAAGUUUAGGUGCAAACAGUGGUGGAAAACUAGAAAGGUGAACAAUCACGUGACCAUAAACGUUACAGAUAAGCAUCACGUGAGCACUUGAUGGUGGUAUGAACAUCUGGUCUUGAGACCCAUGUAGAGGCAUGUGGUGGCUUUGACACGAGCACAGAACUUUUUUUUCUUUUUCUUUUCUUUUAUUUUUUUAAUUAUUUUUAAUAUUUAUGUAUGGACAUGGAGAGUGAAAUUUCAAAUCCCAUUUUGAAUUAGCAUAUAUCUCCAAAGGAGGUGAUUGUUAUCAAUAUAUAUAUAUAUAUAUAUAAAUAUAUUUUUCUGGUAGA